AGCGAACGCUGGCGGUGUGCCUAACACAUGCAAGUCGAACGUGAAAGGGAGCAAUCCCACGUAAAGUGGCGUACGGGUGAGUAACACGUAGGUAAUCUACCCCAGAAUCUGGAAUAACCGGCCGAAAGGCAGGCUAAUACAGGAUAGAACGACGGAAUCCGUACUUGGGUUUUUCGGGAAAGUUAGCACGUAAAAAGGCCUUCGUUCUGGGAUGCGCCUGCGUCCCAUCAGCUAGUUUGUGAGGUAAAAGCUUACCAAGGCAAUGACGGGUAGCUGGUCUGAGAGGAAGAUCAGCCACAAUGGAAAUGAAACACGGUCCAGACUCCUACGGGGGGGAGCAGUGGGGGAACGUGCGCCAUGGGCGGAAGGCUGGCGCAGGAACGCCGCGGGGGGGAAGGAGGGCUUCCGGUUGUUAAGGUCUGUCGGGUGGGAAGAAAAUGCUUGGAGUUCACAGCUCGAGGAACUGACGGUACCACUAAAGGAAGCACCGGCUAACUCCGUG
rnacentral:rRNA from 1 species